GUUUCCCAUCAGUCUGCUUCGUAAUGACUAUAAACAAAGCUCAAAGUCAAACUCUAGGGACCUCUGCUUAAACUCCCAUGAGUGCACAGAGUCGCUCAAGCUUCCAAGGGCCUACCGAUAGGUCGGGUGACGUAAUCUUGAAAUUCUUUAAGCCGGCGCAGAACUUCCAGAAGGUCAGGCGACGCCACGGCCACUUUGAACCGUGUUUACUUCUGCAGUUAUAUUUCAUAUUUAUUCGAUUCUAGAAUAUAUUCCCAAAAAGUC